GACUCGUCUGCACUGAAGGUGUGGUAUCCCCUCACAGUGACCCCCUCCUGGGGUUAAUCGGGGCAGGAAUGGACACCAGCAGUCAGAUUCGGCUUCUGCUGUGGAAAAACUGGACGCUGCGCAAGAGACAGAAAAUUCGGUUCUUGGUGGAGAUCGUGUGGCCCGCCCUCCUGCUCGCUGGACUCGUGUGGCUCCGCAGAGCGAAUCCUCUUUACCAACAACACGAGUGUCAUUUUCCCAACAAGGCUCUGCCUUCAGCAGGAAUUCUGCCGUGGAUUCAGGGAAUUUUCUGCAACGCUAACAAUCCCUGCUUCCGACACGCUACUCCGGGAGAAUCUCCAGGAAUCGUGUCCAAUUACAACAACUCCAUACUUGCUCGGUUUUACGCCGACGUUCAGGAGCUGCUGCUUACUGAUGCUGAGGUUCUGCAGCUGCAGCGACUCUGGCAGGAAGCGUCUGAUUUCAGCGACUUCAUGGACACGCUGAGGAAAGAUCCGAGCCGAGCGACAGGCAGAGGACUGAAGAUCGAGGACAUCCUGAAAGACGAUGAGACUCUGACGUCGUUCUUGCUGAGGGACGCCGGCCUGUCGGACUCCGUGGUCCAUCAGCUGACAAACGCCCGAGUGCGGGUCGAACAGUUUGUGUAUGGAGUUCCUGAUCUGACCCUACAGGAGAUCUCCUGCAGUCAGGUUCUUCUGGAGCGUUUCAUCAUCUUCCCAAUUCGCCGUGGAGUUCAUGGAGUUCGUAACGCCAUGUGCGCUCUCACACCGCAGAAACUGCAGCAGAUCGAAGACAAGCUCUACGCCAACGUUGACUUCUUUAAACUCUUCAGACUGUUGCCGAUGGUGUUGGAUAAUCACUCCAGUGGAGUCGACCUGCACUUCUGGGGGCGUGUCCUUUCUGUAGUGUCUGAGAAACUGCAGCAGUUGCUGAGCAGGCCGAGCUGCAUGGCGUUGGCGGCGGCUCUGCAGCCUGUGUUUGAGGACGGUGUCCCCUGGUCCUUCUCUCGACUCGUCUCUCUGAUGUCGGAUCUGUUCUGUGGUUACGAGUCGGUGGGAAACUCUCGCGUUCUCUCCUUUAACUGGUACGAAGACAACAACUUCAGAGUGUUCCUGGGAAUAAACUCCUCAAAUACACACAGCGGAUACACGUACGAUCACACGGCCUCUCCGUUCUGUAACAGUCUGAUGCAGAGUCUGGAGUCGAACCCUGUCACUAAAAUCAUGUGGAAUUCAGUGAAGCCUCUCGUGAUGGGUAAAAUCCUGUACACACCUGACGCUCCUGCUGUGCACAAGAUAGUGAAGAGUGCUAACAGCACCUUUGAAGAGUUGGAGCGGUUGAUAAACAUGGCAAAAGCGUGGGAGGAAGUGGCUCCUCAAAUCUGGCAUUUCUUUCAGGACAGCGUUCAGAUGAACAUGAUCCGGGACACACUUAGGAACCCGACAGUGAUGGAUUUUCUGGACCGGCGCCUGGAGGAGACUUCCUUCAGCAGCAAGCACAUCCUGAACUUCCUCCAUGGCGGCGGCGGCUCUAGAGACCGCUACGAGGACACGCCCGACUUCGACUGGAGGAACGUCUUCAACCUGACUGACCGACUCCUCAGCACCUUCACCCAGUACAGCCAGUGUAUAAACCUGGAUAAGUUUGUAGCCCAUGUGGAUGAGGAUCAGAUGAGCCAUCACGCCCUGCAUCUGCUGCAUGAGAACAAGUUCUGGGCGGGGGUGGUGUUUCUGGGUGUGUACCCGUGGACCACGGAGGUGCCGAGACACGUCACGUAUAAAAUCCGCAUGGACAUUGACGCGGUCGAGCGGACCAACAAGAUCAAAGACAGGUACUGGGACCCUGGGCCGAGGGCGGACCCCGUGGAGGACCUGCGUUACAUAUGGGGAGGAUUUGCGUAUCUGCAGGACAUGAUCGAGCACGGCGUCCUGAAGCUCCUGAGCGCUCCUCAGAUGCCGCUCGGGGUUUACGUCCAGCAGAUGCCCUACCCCUGCUACGUAGACGACAUGUUCAUGCUGACGCUGAACCGCUGCUUCCCGAUCUUCAUGGUCCUGGCGUGGGUCUACAGCGUGUCCAUGAUAGUGAAGAGCAUCGUGCUGGAGAAGGAGCUCAGGCUGAAGGAGACGCUGAAGGUCAUGGGCGUGACCAACGACGUCAUCUGGUGCACGUGGUUCCUCGACAGUUUCCUGAUGAUGACCUUCAGCACGGCUCUGCUCACCUUCAUCAUCAUGACUGGAAAGGUGCUGAACUACAGCAAUCCCAUCAUCCUCUUCUUCUUCCUGUUGACCUUCACCUUGGCCACUAUUAUGCAGUGUUUCCUGAUGAGUGUGUUCUUUAACAAGGCUAAUUUAGCAGCAGCGUGCAGCUGCAUCAUCUACUUCACCCUCUACCUGCCCCACAUCGUGUGUUUCGCCUGGCAGGACCGGAUCAGCGCCAGCUCCAAACUCGCCAUCAGUUUGUUGUCGCCGGUGGCAUUCGGGUUUGGUACGGAGUAUUUAUCCCGCUAUGAGGAGCAGGGCCUGGGGCUUCAGUGGGACAACAUCAGCACCAGUCCACUAGAGGGUGAUGAGUUCUCGUUCCUUAACUCCAUCCGCAUGAUGCUGUUUGAUUCGGUUCUUUACGGUGUGUUGGCCUGGUACCUCGAUAACGUCUUCCCAGGUCACUACGGAAUUGGGAAACCGUUUUAUUUUCCCGUGCAGACAUCCUUCUGGCAGACUGAACAGCGCCCCCAGGCUGACGUGGCUGAUCCAGCUCGCGAAACACCUCUGACAGAACAUCUGGAGAUGAAGGAGAAGGAGGUACAGACUCCUGACAUUAACCCUGAGCCCUCAGUGCUGAACCGCAGCGCCUCUCGCAGGCCAUGCAAACACCAGGACAAGAGGGAGAGGAUGGAGAGAGAGAGAAUGGAGAGGAGGAAGAGAGAGGAGGAAGGUCUGAAUCCUCAGGAGGAUCGACAGGUGGAGCACACGGAAAACCCGUUGUUCGAGGCAGAGCCUGAGGGCUUGGAGGUGGGUGUGCGUGUGAAGGAGCUCGUGAAGGUUUAUCCCGGAAGUUCUCGUCCAGCUGUUAACGGCCUCAGUUUGAACUUCUAUGAAGGACAGAUCACCUCGUUCCUGGGACACAACGGAGCGGGAAAGACCACCACACUGUCCAUCCUGACCGGUCUGUUUCCUCCCACGUCUGGAACGGCGAUCAUCAGCGGGAAGGACAUUCGCUCGGACAUGGACGUGAUUAGACGCUCCCUGGGGGUGUGUCCUCAGCACAACAUCCUGUUCAACCAUCUGACGGUAGAGGAACACGUCCUCUUCUACUCGCUGCUGAAAAGCCGAGAGCGUGAAGAAGCUGAACAGGAAGUGGAGGCCAUGCUGCAGGACCUGGGGUUAACCCACAAACGCCACGAGGAAGCGCAGAACCUCUCUGGUGGGAUGCAGAGGAAGUUGUCGGUUGCCAUGGCGUUUGUUGGAGGCUCCAAGGUGGUGAUUUUGGACGAGCCCACUUCAGGAGUUGACCCGUACUCCAGACGGUCCAUCUGGGAUUUACUCCUGAAGUACCGUGCAGGCCGCACGGUGAUUCUCUCCACCCACCACAUGGAUGAAGCUGAUCUUCUCAGUGAUCGAGUGGCGAUCCUUUCUAAAGGCCAGCUGCGCUGCUGCGGUUCUCCUCUCUUCCUGAAGAACUGCUUUGGUGUUGGGUUUUAUCUCACACUCGUCCGCCGUAUUAAAGACGUGCGAAAGAAAGAGAACGAGUGUGACUGUGCGUCCGAGUGUUCCUGCGCCUGCUCCACCUGCGGCAGGUUUAAAGAGGAGACUCGAAGCCAGCACAUGGACAGGAGCCUGGACGGUAAUGUGGAGAACAUCACCGCUCUCAUCCACCACCACGUUCCUGAGGCCAGGCUGAUCGAGGUGAUCGGUCAGGAGCUCACCUACCUGCUGCCAAAUAAAGGUUUUAAACACCGCUCGUACGCCAGCUUGUUCCGGGAGCUGGAGGAGACGCUCGGAGACGUCGGCCUGAGCAGCUUCGGCAUUUCAGACACCUCGCUGGAGGAGAUCUUCCUGAAGGUUACUGCAGAAGGAGAGGCGUGUAACGGCAACAUGCAGCCAGAGCAGUGGAUGUUACAGAGGAAGAAAAGCAGCAGUUUGUUGAGAGACACUAACAAAUCUGUGGCUCCUGAAGGAGGGAACGGAGCUCAGGAGAACGGCGUGGGGACAGGUGGUGCUUCGGAUAGUGGCACUGGGAAAGUCUUGGGACAGGUCAAAGGUCUCAGUCUGGUGAUGAAACAGUUUCACGCUUUACUGGUGAAGAGAUUUCAUCACGCAACGCGCAGCUCCGAGGACUUUCUCGCUCAGAUUGUUCUGCCAGCGAGCUUCGUGUUAGUUGCUUUGUUCUUUACUCUGAUCGUCCCUCCGUUUGGCGAGUACCCGAGUCUAACACUCACACCCUGGAUGUACGGACAGCAGCUCACCUUCUUAAGUAACGAGCGUCCGUCCCAUCCCACCAUGAGACACUUCAUCUACACGCUGCUGAGAGACCCGGGGAUGGGGACGCGCUGUAUGAAGGACCAGCCGCUAGAGAACUUGCCAUGUGGGAAUGUUACGACAGAUUGGGACGUUCCACCCGUUUCUCCAGUGAUUAGUAACAUCUUGCUGAGCCCUGAGUGGACGGAGCGGAACCCCUCCCCUUCCUGUCAGUGCAGCACCAAUCAGAAGCUCACGAUGCUCCCGGUCUGUCCAAUCGGAGCAGGAGGACUGCCUCCACGCCAGAGGAAGGAAGCGACAGGAGACACUCUGCUCGACCUGACAGACAGAAACAUGUCCGACUACCUGGUGAAGACGUAUCCCAGUCUCAUCAGGACCAGCUUAAAGAGUAAAUACUGGGUGAACGAGCAGAGGUACGGCGGUCUGUCUGUCGGUGGCCAACUUCCUGUUGUGCACGUGGAUCCUGUAACCAUACAGAACUUCCUGUACCAGCUCGGGAACAUGAUGAACAUCACUGGGGGUCCCUACUGCAGACUCGCUGUUGAAGAACUCGGACCGUUCCUGCACCACAUGGAAAGCGAAUAUAACGUGAAGGUGUGGUUUAGUAAUAAAGGGUGGCACUCCAUGGUGGCCUUCGUGAACAUAGCGAACAACGCCAUCCUGCGCGCUAACCUUCCCUUUCACGCUGAUCCGUCUGAAUUCGGCAUCACCGCCAUCAACCACCCCCUCAACCUGACCAAGGAGCAGCUCUCUGAUGUCACAAUCUUGACCACGUCUGUGGACGCCAUGGUGGCCAUUUGCGUGAUCUUCGCCAUGUCCUUUGUCCCGGCGAGUUUCGUCCUCUACCUCAUCCAGGAGCGAGCGACGAAGGCCAAACACCUGCAGUUCGUUAGUGGGGUCAGUCCUCUCAUUUACUGGCUCACCAACUUCUUCUGGGACAUGGUGAAUUACUCCAUCAGCACAGUCAUGGUCGUCUUCAUCUUCAUCGCUUUUGAUAAAAAAUGCUACACGUCCCCCAGGAACCUGCCAGCGCUCAUCACCCUGCUGAGCUUAUACGGGUGGUCCGUGACGCCGAUGAUGUACCCCAUGUCGUACGUGUUCAGUGUUCCCAGCACCGCGUACGUCUCUCUGUCCUGCAUUAACCUGUUCAUCGGGAUUAACAGCAGCGCCAUUACCUUCAUCCUUGAGCUCUUUGAGAACAACAGGUCCCUGCUCCUGUUUAAUGAGGGAUUAAAGAAGGUGCUGCUGAUUUUCCCUCAUUUCUGUUUGGGGCGGGGCCUGAUCGACCUGGCCAUGAACCAGGCGGUGACCGACGUCUACGCCCGAUUUGGGGAGGAGUUUGUUCUGGACCCGUUCAAGUGGGACUUUGUGGGGAAGUACGUGGUGUGUAUGGCACUGGAGGGUUUCAUCUACUUCAGCUUUACUCUCCUCAUUCAGUACAGGUUCUUCCUGGAUCACUGGUUAUGUGACUACAGUCAGAUCCCAGCUCCUGAUGAAGAUGAUGAUGUUGCUCAGGAGAGACAGAGGAUUUACAGCAGGACACAAAACAACGACAUCCUGCACGUCCGAGAUCUCACCAAGGUGUACGUGGGGAGGAAGAGGCCGGCGGUGGAUCGGAUCUGUGUUGGUGUUCCACCUGGGGAGUGUUUUGGGCUGCUCGGUGUAAACGGUGCUGGAAAAACUACCACUUUUAAAAUGCUGACUGGAGACACAGACGUGACCUCCGGUGAGGCCUCGGUAGCCGGAUACAGUAUUCUAACCAACAUCCUGGAUGUGCAUCAGAACAUGGGCUACUGUCCACAGUUCGACGCGAUCGAUGAGCUGCUGACGGGCCGAGAGCACCUGUACCUGUACGCGCGGCUCCGGGGAGUUCCCGAGUCCGAGAUCAGCAGAGUGGCGCAGUGGUGCGUAGAUAAAAUUGGCCUGUCGGAGUAUGCAGGUCUCUGUGCUGGAACGUACAGCGGAGGAAACAAGAGGAAGCUGUCAACUGCAAUCGCCAUGAUCGGCUGCCCACCUCUACUGCUGCUGGAUGAACCCACCAGUGGGAUGGAUCCUCACUCACGCCGCUUCAUGUGGAACGCCAUCAUGAGCGUCAUACGAGACGGCAGAGCUGUAGUUCUAACAUCACACAGUAUGGAGGAGUGUGAAGCGUUGUGCACUCGUUUGGCCAUCAUGGUGAACGGCACAUUCAAAUGUCUUGGCACAAUCCAACACCUCAAGUACAAGUUCGGAGACGGUUACGUGGUGACGAUGAAGAUCCGAGCGGCUCGAGCCGGUUCCUCUCCGGACCUCGGUCCUGCUGAAGCGUUCAUGGAGAGCAACUUUCCGAAAUGUGUGCAGCGCGAGAAACACUACAACACGCUGCAGUAUGAGAUCGGCUCGUCAUCGCUCGCUCGAGUCUUCCAGCUGGUGGCAGAAAACAAACACAAACUCAACAUCGAGGACUACUCCGUGUCUCAGACCACGCUGGACCAGGUGUUUGUGAAUUUUGCGAAGCAGCAGUCGGCUGAGGAUGAUGAUGAUGUCGUUCUUCAUCCCAGAGCAGCCGGAGCCAGACGAGAGGCAAAAAUCUCACCUGUUAAGGCCGCUUCCAAAAAAUAACCAUCAUUGCCAGCUGUUAGUGUUGCGGUGCUGAAGGUGUGUUUAAGGUGACAUCAGUGCAGCGACGCUACGAUGAGGAACUGAAGCCGUUUUACCAGGAUGGAGUUUCAGAGCCUGUCUCGCUGGAUACCACCGCGGAUCUGCAACAGAGCCAUGGUUUCUACUGGACAUGUUUUACCCUCGUGGUGUCACCAGGCGUCUCCAUCACACUCAUUCAGGAUGUUUUUCUAAUCCCAUAAAGGUGAGGUUUAGAUCUAUCCCUCCCGGGUUUAGUCCUGUGCUGCAGUGUGGAGCCGACGUGUGUUAGUCAGUGCAGUAAUUCAUUAAUAAAUGUCAGUGCAGAUUAAUAAAUGCAUCGAGGUAUUUCUUGCCCAGGUGUAAACCAGUGUUAAUCAGGAAUGAAAAUGUUUUAAACAGCAAAUAAAUCCAGACUAAAGAUUAGACCAGAGUUUGGGUUUCUGUUAAAGUGACGCACCUUGUCCAGGUAGCAGAGCUGUGUCCUGGUUUUGGGGUCCAGAACCUCCACCUCGAAAAAAACAUAGUUUUUGACCUUUUGCACUUCUCCAGCUUUUAGGCCGUGAUCACAUCUGGCUUUAAUAAACUGAGCGACGGUGAAUAAAUCCCUUAACUGUAUGCCGUCCAUGCUGCACACAGGAACCG